GUGUUCUCAAGACAACAAUUUGAGGCCACUUCCCCUAACUUGAGCAGUGCCGUGCCUUCAGAAAUGUCCAGAAAAGACUUCUUGUCUUGGGAAAGGUAGAAGUGGGUGGGCCAGGUACGGGAGUCCUUUAGUUCUUGAGUGUCAAAGGGCCUCAGUUUUACCCUCUGCAAGCUGGGAUUGGAAGGACUCUCAGCUGCACUCAAUUUCAGAAAAGCCCAAUGAGCCCUCUGUUUGAAAAGUAGUGACCUGUGGGAUCCCAGGACUCCUUGAGUGAUUGUCUACAGGGGUAGAAUGUGUUUGUCAGCAAGAAGAGAAAGGAGUUGUGCAUGCAAGGGCUUAAAGAGUAAAGUUCUUACUGGGCAAUUUGGCUUUUGACCUAGAUGAGACCCAGGGAUGAGAAAAGUGUCUGCUUUUCUCACAACCAUGUAACCUGGAGACUCUCCCUCUUAAUGUCUUUCCCAUGGGCAUCACUGCUCAUGCUUCUUACCCAGAGACCUUAACAUUUGGCCUCUCUACCUAAAAAGUGACAGAAAGUAUGCAGGGGUAAGUGGUAGGGAGAAAAAGGGUGAGAUUCUGGAGAAUCUGUAGGGUGUGUGCUGCUGAGGCCUCUCAGUCAGGUCCUGUCUUACAGUGUACAUGUAGAUUGUCCAAACUCUGGCUCGUUUCUGCCAUGGGGCCUCUGCCAGAGUUCUGGCUCUUAGGGUUCACCACAGAGAACAAGCCGGAGGCAAGUCCUUCAUGAGCAUGUGCCACCUCAGGUGAUUUCUAACCCCUAAGAAGAGGCUUUCAGUGUGCUGGCUGCCCAAGAGCUACCACUCAUGUCCUUCCAUAGGUUCUCUCCCUUCCAACAGCUCAAGAUGUCAGCUCCUAAUUGGCCAGAAGACUUCAUGAAGAGAACUCCCCACGGGGGCUGAUGCUUCUUGAAGGAAAGGAGGCGUCCUUUGGAACAGCAGCUGGAGUCACGUGGCUUCUUGUGUCUGGUGUCCAAGAAUGGCAGAGAACAUGAACAAUAAGAGAAAAUAAACCCAUUACUCUAUUGAAGGAGAGAGCCACCAUCCUAUAUAUCUUGAUGGAACAUCUGCAUUUUUUUAUCUGUGUAUUGUAUUUGGUAGUUUACUAAAAUCGAUACCAUGCUGUUGAUAUGUUUUUGCCUUUCACUAUCUACAUAAGAUUGUAAUACAUGUGUUUUCCUAGACCACAUAAAUGUUCUACUGAAUGAUCGAGUAGCAUAAGUUUAUUAUUUAUAGCUUCCCAAAUGGCUUGCUCUUUUAUAUCCCCACUGUCACCCUUUGAGCACGGCUGUAUCUCACUGUCACAGGAGAUGGAUGUAGGGGACAUGCUAGUGAGAGACCCAGAUGAGAGAGCAGAGGAGUGGAUGGGGUG
ensembl:lncRNA